UACUCGUCCAUGACAUUAGACAUAUUUCUUCUUCAUUCUCUCUUUCUCCUUAGAGUUACAGACCUUGGGCGUUUCUGUCGUUGUAGUUUUUGCCUUAUCAAUAGCUUUAAAGACUAUUAGUAGUAUCCUUAGGGAGAUUUACAGGAAGCUGUUUCUGAUGACCAGCACGUACACUUCAUUUUCAUUCUACCACCCUCAGAGCGCUGGAUCUCAAUGUUGGACAAGAUCUCAGAGCUCUGCAAAUCUAAUCCCCGCUGAGUAGGAAUGGCUUCUGUAAUCCUCUGUCACGUCACCCCUGCUUGGACAACCAGCUCCCGAGAGCUCGUGGUAUGCAGCUGAAAUGCACUGCUGGAUGAUGUCGCGACUGCGGCCUACGCCCACCAGCCCGCAAGCUAAUUUUCCCUCCCAAAGCCGCAACCAACAAGGCCUAAUCCCUGUUCCAUAUGGCGACCCUUAAGAGGCCUGAAAUACUGAAGCAUGUUUGCUUGAAGUUAUUUCCUCCUUUCUAUCAAAAAUAUUUUCUCUCCCCCCUCCUUUCUCUUUCUCUUAAGCACAUGAAGUUUUGUCUCCCAACGCAAGAGGUUUCCUUUGACAUUAAUUUCUCCUUCAGUAGUCAACACUCACAUUCCUUAGAGAGAAGGGUUUUUUAAUGGAAUUAAUUCCUCCUUCCCCUCAGAAAUGUUUUCUCUCACUGCUUGGGCUUUAAAUCUUUAAAGACAUUAGACAUUAGACAUGUAUUCUAAAAGCUGAAAAUGCCCAGUGAAGAGCAAGAAUGGAUUAUUUAGAGAAGAGAAUGUACCUGGAGCUACUGCUACCUAUGACAUCACAGAACUCUCUCCUUGUUUCUUUUUCUGAGUUAACCAUAAAGACCUGAGGUUUUGUUCUCAUGUCUAAGAAUGAAGCUCUUUUUCUUCUUUACUAGACCAACCUUAAAUAAGAGAAAGCACCUUAGAGAAAGGGUUUUUGCAUGAAGUUUUUCUACCUAGUCCAUAUAAAUUCUUUUUUACAAAUUCUUUUUUUAACCUUACAAAAUUUUUUUAGGGGCUUCCCUGGUGGCGCAGUGGUUGAGAGUCUGCCUGCCGAUGCAGGGGACACGGGUUCGUGCCCCGGUCCAGGAAGAUCCCACAUGCCGCAGAGUGGCUAGGCCCGUAAAAAAAAAAAAAAUUUUUAACCUUACAAAUUCUUUUUUUAACCUUAAUUUUAAUCCUGCAUCUCUGUUUUCUUAUCUGAAAAAUUUUUGAAUAUAUUUUCUUCCACUCCCCAGUCUUAAAGAUCAGGGAUGCAAGAGUCUGUUUGUUUCCGUUACCAAAGUAUUGCUUUCCACACCUUAGCCUUAUAGAUCUGUGGAUUUGUUAUCUCUUUUAAUGAAGGGACAAAAGUUACAAACUGGCAACUUAGAGAAAAAGAGAUACAACUGGGACCAAUGAUCAGGUUGGCAAAAGCAGCUCCCCACCCCCUUGCUAAAGAAGAACAGCC